AACGAACGCUGGCGGCAGGCCUAACACAUGCAAGUCGAACGCCCUAGCAAUAGGGAGUGGCAGACGGGUGAGUAACACGUGGGAACGUGCCCUUCGGUUCGGAAUAACUCAGGGAAACUUGAGCUAAUACCGGAUACGCGCGAGAGCAGCAAGAUUGAUCGCCGGAGGAUCGGGCCGCGGCGGAUUUCCUCGUUGGUGAGGUAAUGGCUCACCAAGGCGACGAUCGGUAGGUGGUCUGAGAGGAUGACCAGCCACACUGGGACUGAGACACGGCCCAGACUCAGAUGGGGGGCAGCAGUGGGGAAUAUUGAACACUGGGUGCAAGCCAGAUCCAGCCAUGCCGCGUGAGUGAUGAAGGCCCUAGGGUUGUAAAGCUCUUUCGCCAGGGACGAUAAUGACGGUACCUGGAUAAGAAGCCCCGGCUAACUUCGUUCCAGCCGCCGCCGUAA
rnacentral:rRNA from 1 species